rnacentral:rRNA from 1 species
GACGAACGCUGGCGGCGUGCCUAAUACAUGCAAGUAGAACGCUGAAGAGAGGAGCUUGCUCUUCUUGGAUGAGUUGCGAACGGGUGAGUAACGCGUAGGUAACCUGCCUUGUAGCGGGGGAUAACUAUUGGAAACGAUAGCUAAUACCGCAUAACAAUGGAUGACACAUGUCAUUUAUUUGAAAGGGGCAAUUGCUCCACUACAAGAUGGACCUGCGUUGUAUUAGCUAGUAGGUGAGGUAAUGGCUCACCUAGGCGACGAUACAUAGCCGACCUGAGAGGGUGAUCGGCCACACUGGGACUGAGACACGGCCCAGACGCCUACGGGAGGCAGCAGGAGGGAAUCUUCGGCAAUGGGGGCAACCCUGACCGAGCAACGCCGCGUGAGUGAAGAAGGGUUUCGGACCGUAAAGCUCUGUUGUAAGUCAAGAACGGGUGUGAGAGUGGAAAGUUCACACUGUGACGGUAGCUUACCAGAAAGGGACGGCUAACUACGUG